rnacentral:tRNA from 1 species
GGGCUCUUAGCUCAGUUGGUCAGAGCAUCCGGCUCAUAACCGGUUGGUCGUAGGUUCGAAUCCUACCGGGCCCA